GACGAACGCUGGCGGCGUGCCUAAUACAUGCAAGUCGAACGCUGAAGAGAGGAGCUUGCUCUUCUUGGAUGAGUUGCGAACGGGUGAGUAACGCGUAGGUAACCUGCUUUGUAGCGGGGGAUAACUAUUGGAAACGAUAGCUAAUACCGCAUAACAAUGGAUGACACAUGUCAUUUAUUUGAAAGGGGCAAUUGCUCCACUACAAGAUGGACCUGCGUUGUAUUAGCUAGUAGGUGAGGUAAUGGCUUACCUAGGCGACGUAACAUAGCCGACCUGAGAGGGGGAUCGGCCAAGCUGGGACGGGGACACGGCCCAGAAUCCUACGGGAGGGAGCAGUAGGGAAUCUUCGGCAAUGGGGGCAACCCUGACCGAGGCACGCCGCGUGAGUGAAGGAGGGUGUCGGAUCGUAAAGCUCUGUUGUAAGUCAAGAACGGGUGUGAGAGUGGAAAGUUCACACUGUGACGGUAGCUGGACAGAAAGGGACGGCUAACUACGUG
rnacentral:rRNA from 1 species